GUAGCUCAUUAGAAAUCAUGAGAGUUUAAUCUUCAAGGGAAAGUGAUGAUGACUAUUCAUUCGGAUCUCCAGAGUGUCCAGGUGCAGCUGUUGGGGUCAGCAAACAGCAAAGGCCUGAAGUUAUUGAGCAGAUCUGAAAUGUAGGAGGAACCAUGGGACAUUUUUUAGACAAUUUGAUUGAACUGCCUCGGUGUGUCACAGAGGAAGGAGGCAGAAUGCUCCUCAGAUAUCUGACUGAGGAAGAGCACAGAGGGAAUUUUUUCUAAGAACUGCUUUACUAGCAUUACAAAGUUUUAGCAUUUUAUUAUAACAUUGUAAGUCUAUGAAAUCUUCAAC